UAGAUGUUACAUUUGGGUUUCUUCCUUUCAGGAAGAUUUGUCCACUGCUGCUUUGCUUUGUUACAAAUUGAGUUUAAUUUCAGCUUUUGCCAGCUGCCAGCUGUGAUCUGGGUUUUGCUUUCAUUAUUGUCCCCUCUCCAGCACGCGGUGCCAAGGCGAUAGGUGUGGUACUGGCUGCCCCAGCGUUUUCCCUAGUUAAAAACAAGAGGGAGUGUUGCAGCUGUCUGCGGGGCAGGUUGUCCGUUCUGAGUCCUCUUCUUUGCCCACUGCAUGCCGUGUUCAGAGUGAUUCCUUCUGCUCGUGCUGGGUGCCCAAGGUCAGGUGGUGAAUCCUCCAAAUGGCGUGUUAAUUCACCCCUACUGGGUUUAUGUGCGGGGCAUGUUUGGUGUGACCUCCAGAGGUACUGGCCUUGCUACCUAAUUACCUGCCCCUACUGCCGUUACAGGUAUUUGGCGUACAGGAGCAUUGUUAGCUGGUGUUGGGGCUUUCGGGGCUGGAAGAAUCAGGGUGGUCCUGCCCUCCUGCGUGGUGCUCCAGAUAUGCAGAGAGUUCCCUGAUGCUCAAGGAAGGUAUACGGGGUUCAGACCUUCCCUUGAUUGAACCUCGACACAUAUCUGGCUAUAACUUGUCAGGUUUCUCAUACUUGGCAGAGAGAUCCUCGGGUAUUGGGAUCUUCAUGACCUCAUCCACAUCAGGGUCCCGGUCCUGAAAAACCUUGUGAA
ensembl:lncRNA